rnacentral:rRNA from 1 species
GACGAACGCUGGCGGCGUGCUUAAUACAUGCAAGUCAACUGAACUUGAAGUAGCAAUAUUUCAAGGGAGGUGGCGCACGGGUGAGUAACACGUAGGUAAUCUGCCUUUAGGUCUGACAUAAUUCCGCGAAAGCGGGACUAACUUCAGAUGAUGCAGCGGCUCGACAUCGAGACAGUUGUUAAAUCUUCGGAGCCUAAAGAUGAGCCUGCGUCUGAUUAGGUAGUUGGCGGAGUAAAAGCCCACCAAGCCUGCGAUCAGUAGCUGGUCUGAGAGGAUGAUCAGCCACACUGGAACUGAGACACGGUCCAGACUCCUACGGGAGGCAGCAGUAAGGAAUAUUGCUCAAUGGCCGAAAGGCUGAAGCAGCAACGCCGCGUGGAGGAUGAAAUACUUUUGUAUGUAAACUCCUGUGAGAAGGGAAAAUAUGCAGAUUUCUGCGUUGAUUGUACCUUCAG